rnacentral:rRNA from 1 species
UACAGAGGUCUCAAGCGUUGUUCGGAUUCAUUGGGCGUAAAGGGUGCGUAGGCGGCGCGGUAAGUCGGGUGUGAAAUCUUGGAGCUUAACUCCGAAACUGCAUUCGAUACUGCCGUGCUUGAGGACUGGAGAGGAGACUGGAAUUUACGGUGUAGCGGUGAAAUGCGUAGAUAUCGUAAGGAACACCAGUGGCGAAGGCGGCUCACUGGCCCGGUACUGACGCUGAGGCACGAAAGCGUGGGGAGCAAACAGG